rnacentral:rRNA from 1 species
GACGGAGGGGGCUAGCGUUGUUCGGAAUGACUGGGCGUAAAGGGCGCGUAGGUGGUUUAUCUAGUCAGGCGUGAAAGCCUUGGGCUUAACCUGAGAAUUGCGUUUGAUACUGGUAGACUAGAGUGCGAGAGAGGAAAGUGGAAUUCCGAGUGUAGAGGUGAAAUUCGUAGAUAUUCGGAGGAACAUCAGAGGCGAAGGCGGCUUUCUGGCUCGCAACUGACGCUGAGGCGCGAAAGCGUGGGGAGCAAACAGG